UCCCCGGAACAUUCUCAGCGCCACGUACGUUUGCAAGAAUCCCGUGUUUCAUUCCCGCAUGAAGCAUCUCGCCUUGGAUUACUACUUUGUCCGGGAUUUGGUUGCAAAUGGUACGCUAGUUGUGCGGCACGUUUC